CAGGGAUUGCCUCAGUAACGGCGAGUGAAGCGGCAACAGCUCAAAUUUGAAAGCUGCCAACAGGCCGCGUUGUAAUUUGUAGAAGAUGCUUUGGGUGUCGGUCCAGUCUAAGUUCCUUGGAACAGGACGUCAUAGAGGGUGAGAAUCCCGUACGUGAUUGGUGCCGGCGCCCGUGUAAAGCUCUUUCGACGAGUCGAGUUGUUUGGGAAUGCAGCUCAAAAUGGGUGGUAUAUUUCAUCUAAAGCUAAAUAUUGGCCAGAGACCGAUAGCGCACAAGUAGAGUGAUCGAAAGAUGAAAAGCACUUUGGAAAGAGAGUUAAACAGUACGUGAAAUUGUUGAAAGGGAAGCGCUUGCAACCAGACUUGCGGGCGGUCGAUCAUCCGAGGUUCUCCCCGGUGCACUCGAUCGUUCUCAGGCCAGCAUCGGUUUCGGUGGUGGGAUAAAGGCUGUGGGAAUGUGGCCCUUCGGGGUGUUAUAGCCCACGGUGCAAUGCCGCCUACCGGGACCGAGGACCGCGCUUCGGCUAGGAUGCUGGCGUAAUGGUUGUAAGCGACCCGUCUUGAAACACGGACCAAGGAGUCUAACAUCUAUGCGAGUGUUUGGGUGUCAAACCCAUACGCGUAAUGAAAGUGAACGGAGGUAAGAGCCCUUUAGGGUGCAUUAUCGACCGAUCCUGAUGUCUUCGGAUGGAUUUGAGUAAGAGCAUAGCUGUUGGGACCCGAAAGAUGGUGAACUAUGCGUGAAUAGGGUGAAGCCAGAGGAAACUCUGGUGGAGGCUCGCAGCGGUUCUGACGUGCAAAUCGAUCGUCAAAUUUGCGUAUAGGGGCGAAAGACUAAUCGAACCAUUGGGACACUACUAGGUGGUUAAGAGAAAUGUGAAUCUAGUCCGCGGUGCGGGCGACACUCUCAAAUUGCGGGGACGUCCUGCUACUUCGCAGCUACCGCAGCCGUACCGAAAGGGCGGCGCGCACCGGUCCGUUACGGGGCCGGGGAUGGUAAUAACGCUGGCGAUAGGGAUGAUCCGCAGCCAAGUCCUACGGGCGGUACGCCUACGGACGCAGUUCACAGACUAGAUGUGAGUGGGCUCCUCGAGCU
rnacentral:rRNA from 1 species